rnacentral:misc_RNA from 1 species
UUAUUGGCGUGCUCUGCAUGGCAGAACUCCUGCGCAUCGGCGCGGCAGGCUGUCAUGGGGCUGCCCCUUCGUUGUCCCUCCUUUAUAGCGGGAAAUCCGUAGUCGGCUUUGUCUGUGUGGUUCUAUCCAUGCGACAAAUAAGAUGUCCCAUGAUGGUUGUUUUUUGCUUGCCAUGUUGAUAAUUUUAUUGUCUCCAUGGCAGCCGAAUUGAUGGCUAAAUCCAAGUGCGUCCCACGGCAUUUUUGCAGUGGCACCGCACGCGGGUGUUGCCGGCUCUUGCGGAUGUUGUGUCCAUGAUAAGUUCUGUGGGUCCUCGGUCCACAGGCUUCAGAAGGUCCCUAGUCCAUCGCCCGUCAUGUCGAUUAUGUCGUCAUGUCGUAGCGGUGCGUGUGUUGCCUCUCUGACCGAAUGAGCAGCGAUUGCCGGCAAGUGUUGUGAGACGGGCCUACCCUUCGGGGCUGUUCCGGAAACAACGUGCCGACUCUCGUUUAAGACGUGC